CCGGAUUGACUCUGCCUCGGUACAUUCCCCUGCUGCCAGGGAGAGAAGAAGCGGAGCUCACCAUGGGCUCCGAGAGUGGAGCUGCUCCGUGGCGCCUUCUCCUCGCCCUGGCUUUGCUCUUCUCCUGCUGCGAAGCCCAAGUGGUUCAGAGCCCCGAGUCGCUGGUUACUGGGGAAGGGAAGGUCUCCACCAUGUCCUGCUCUUUCACCAGCACUUACCGAACCUUCUACUGGUACCAGCAGCUGCCUGGGCAAGGGCCGACCCACCUGCUGACCGCGAGCUCUAAUCAGAAUGUCUCUGUGGGGCGGUUCAUAGGCGAGCGCCUGGAAAGUGGGAAACGCAGCUCCCUGCACAUCACCGACUCCCAGCUGGGGGACUCAGGCAGCUACCUCUGUGCGGUGGAUGCACAGUGACAUAGGCAGAGCUGGGCUCAGGGCAA